CAGCCGCCACGGUAAUACGUAGGUCCCGAGCGUUGUCCGGAUUUAUUGGGCGUAAAGCGAGCGCAGGCGGUUAGAUAAGUCUGAAGUUAAAGGCUGUGGCUUAACCAUAGUACGCUUUGGAAACUGUUUAACUUGAGUGCAGAAGGGGAGAGUGGAAUUCCAUGUGUAGCGGUGAAAUGCGUAGAUAUAUGGAGGAACACCGGUGGCGAAAGCGGCUCUCUGGUCUGUAACUGACGCUGAGGCUCGAAAGCGUGGGGAGCAAACAGGAUUAGAUACCCGUGUAGUCCCUGUCUCUUAUACC
rnacentral:rRNA from 1 species